UACGUAGGGGGCUAGCGUUGUCCGGAAUCAUUGGGCGUAAAGCGCGUGUAGGCGGUCCGGUAAGUCCGCUGUGAAAGUCGGGGGCUCAACCCUCGGAUGCCGGUGGAUACUGUCGGGCUUGAGUACGGAAGAGGCGAGUGGAAUUCCUGGUGUAGCGGUGAAAUGCGCAGAUAUCAGGAGGAACACCGGUGGCGAAGGCGGUCUGCUGGGCAGUUGCUGACACUGAGGCGCGACAGCGUGGGGAGCAAACAGG
rnacentral:rRNA from 1 species